rnacentral:rRNA from 1 species
AAGACCUUGCACUUUUGGAGCGGCCGAUGUCUGAUUAGCUAGUUGGUGGGGUAAUGGCCUACCAAAGCUUCGAUCAGUAGCUGGUCUGAGAGGACGGCCAGCCACACUGGGACUGAGACACGGCCCAGACUCCUACGGGAGGCAGCAGUGGGGAAUUUUGGACAAUGGGCGCAAGCCUGAUCCAGCCAUGCCGCGUGAGUGAAGAAGGCCUUCGGGUUGUAAAGCUCUUUCAGCCGGGAAGAAAAGGUUGCGAUUAAUAAUCGUAAUUUACGACGGUACCGGAAGAAGAAGCACCGGCUAACUACGUGCCAGCAGCCGCGGUAAUACGUAGGGUGCGAGCGUUAAUCGGAAUUACUGGGCGUAAAGGGUGCGCAGGCGGUUUUGUAAGUCAGAUGUGAAAUCCCCGGGCUUAACCUGGGAACU